GAUGAAGAACGCAGCGAAAUGCGAUAAGUAAUGUGAAUUGCAGAAUUCAGUGAAUCAUCGAAUCUUUGAACGCACAUUGCGCCCCCUGGUAUUCCGGGGGGCAUGCCUGUUCGAGCGCCAUUUCAACCCUCAAGCUCUGCUUGGUAUUGAGUCCAUGUCAGCAAUGGCAGGCUCCAAAAUCAGUGGCGGCGCCGCUGGGUCCUGAACGUAGUAAUAUCUCUCGUUACAGGUGCUCGGCGUGCUUCUGCCAAAACCCCAAUUUUUCUAUGGUUGACCUCGGAUCAGGUAGGGAUACCCGCUGAACUUAAGCAUAUCAAUAAGCGGAGGA
rnacentral:misc_RNA from 1 species